GAUGAAGACGCAGCGAAAUGCGAUAAGUAAUGUGAAUUGCAGAAUUCAGUGAAUCAUCGAAUCUUUGAACGCACCUUGCGCCCUUUGGCUAUUCCGAAGGGCAUGCCUGUUUGAGUAUCAUGAACACCUCAACUCUCAUGGUUUGCCAUGAUGAGCUUGGACUUUGGGGGUCUUGCCGGCCUAUGGGUCGGCUCCUCUCAAAUUAAUCAGCUUGCCAGUGUUUGGUGGCAUCACAGGUGUGAUAACUAUCUACGCUUGUGGUUUUCCAUCAGGUAACCUUCAGUGAUGGAGGUUCGCUGGGGCUCAUAAAUGUCUCUCCUCAGUGAGGACAGCUUUUUUGAACGUUUGAUCUCAAAUCAGGUAGGACUACCCGCUGAACUUAAGCAUAUCAAUAAGCGGAGGA
rnacentral:misc_RNA from 1 species